UCCCAGCAGUCCAAGUCGCAAUCACAUUUAUUGGGUCUAAAACAUCCGUAGCUUGCUUUGUAAGUCUCUUGUGAAAUCCGGCCUCUUAAGGGUCGAAGUGCGAGAGAUACUGCUUAGCUUGAGACCGGGAGAGGUAAGAAGUACAAACGGAGUAGCGGUAAAAUGUGUUGAUCCUGUUUGGACUAACAACAGCGAAGGCAUCUUACUAGAACGGAUCUGACAGUGAGGGAUGAAGGCUAGGGGCGCAAAAGGG
rnacentral:rRNA from 1 species